GAUUCGCAAGGGAAGGAGUUAGCGAACAGUAGUGAAUCGUUGCUAUUGGUUGUGAGCCACUUUCAGUGACAUCUUGUUGCCAAAUUUAGAGUAAGGUAGCAGGUAAAGGAUUUAUGGAGUCGCCUGGAGAUCCUGUCCGCCAGUUCCACGUCACAUUCGAGGAUGACCUUACGAUUUUGGUAUUUCUUACGCUAUUUGUAUUUUAGGUUUUGUACUUAUUUAUGUAUUUGAGUUCUCUUGUAUUUGGUUUGAUAUUAUUGUGUCAAGCCGAGCCGGCUCGCAGUUAGUUACUUUAUGUUUUGUUAUCGUUGUUUGUGAUUUCCGCUGUGUUGAUUU